rnacentral:rRNA from 1 species
AUGAACGCUGGCGGCGUGCCUAAUACAUGCAAGUCGAGCGAACAGACGAGGAGCUUGCUCCUCUGACGUUAGCGGCGGACGGGUGAGUAACACGUGGAUAACCUACCUAUAAGACUGGGAUAACUUCGGGAAACCGGAGCCAAUACCGGAUAAUAUAUUGAACCGCAUGGUUCAAUAGUGAAAGACGGUUUUGCUGUCACUUAUAGAUGGAUCCGCGCCGCAUUAGCUAGUUGGUAAGGUAACGGCUUACCAAGGCAACGAUGCGUAGCCGACCUGAGAGGGUGAUCGGCCACACUGGAACUGAGACACGGUCCAGACUCCUACGGGAGGCAGCAGUAGGGAAUCUUCCGCAAUGGGCGAAAGCUUGACGGAGCAACGCCGCGUGAGUGAUGAAGGUCUUCGGAUCGUAAAACUCUGUUAUUAGGGAAGAACAAAUGUGUAAGUAACUAUGCACGUCUUGACGGUACCUAAUCAGAAAGCCACGGCUAACUACGUG